rnacentral:rRNA from 1 species
CCUACGGGAGGCAGCAGUGAGGAAUAUUGGUCAAUGGACGAGAGUCUGAACCAGCCAAGUAGCGUGAAGGAUGACUGCCCUAUGGGUUGUAAACUUCUUUUAUAUGGGAAUAAAAUGUUCCACGUGUGGGAUUUUGUCUGUACAAUUGUAAUAAGGAUGGGCUAACUACGUGCAAGCGGCCGCGGUAAUACGGAGGAUCCGGGCGUUAUCCGGAUUUCUUGGGUUUAAAGGGAGCGUAGGUGGAUUGUUAAGUCAGUUGUGAAAGUUUGCGGCUAAACCGUAAAAUUGCAGUUGAAACUGGCAGUCUUGAGUACAGUAGAGGUGGGCGGAAUUCGUGGUGUAGCGGUGAAAUGCUUAGAUAUCACGAAGAACUCCGAUUGCGAAGGCAGCUCACUGGACUGCAACUGACACUGAGGCUCGAAAGUGUGGGUAGCAAACAGGAUUAGAUACCCUAGUAGUC